AAAUGAACAAAAUGACGGAGGAACAACAAGAACAAAAGCAAUAACGAAACAUCAACCCCAAAAAAAUCCAUGGCUUUCUUUCUUUCUUCCCUUCCUUCUCUCCUGUUUUGUUUUGUUUUGUUUUG
rnacentral:ribozyme from 1 species